rnacentral:rRNA from 1 species
AUACAGAGGGUGCGAGCGUUAAUCGGAAUUACUGGGCGUAAAGCGCGCGUAGGCGGCUUAUUAAGUCAGAUGUGAAAUCCCCGGGCUCAACCUGUGUACUGCAUCUGAUACUGGUAAGCUAGAGUUUGGGAGAGGGAAGUAGAAUUUCAGGUGUAGCGGUGAAAUGCAUAGAGAUCUGAAGGAAUACCAGUGGCGAAGGCGACUUCCUGGCCUAAAACUGACGCUGAGGUGCGAAAGCGUGGGUAGCAAACGGGAUUAGAAACCCGGGUAGUCC